UACGUAGGGCGCAAGCGUUGUCCGGAAUUAUUGGGCGUAAAGAGCUCGUAGGCGGCUUGUCACGUCGAUUGUGAAAGCCCGAGGCUUAACCUCGGGUCUGCAGUCGAUACGGGCUAGCUAGAGUGUGGUAGGGGAGAUCGGAAUUCCUGGUGUAGCGGUGAAAUGCGCAGAUAUCUGGAGGAACACCGGUGGCGAAGGCGGCAUCCUGGACCAAUACUGACGCUGAGGAGCGAAAGCCAGGGGAGCAAACGGG
rnacentral:rRNA from 1 species